GUGGACAGGGAUGUGCCAAUAGCUUAUCUUCCUCAGGCAGUGAAGUGCCUUGAGCUAAUCCUGUCAGCAAUUAUAUAUUUUUUUCCAACUGUAUAUAAGCAGGCAAGUUAUAGCUACUGCUACAAUACUUGUCCUUCUAACCAAGAAUCUGAACGCCAUUUCUGUUUGCGGGUGAAGUGGAGAUGUCUGAUGGCAGAACAAGACAGAAGGGAAGAAGAGAGGAUGCCAUCACAGAAGCCCAGACCCCAUGGCACAAUCAGCCCUGAUUGCUUCAUUGCGGAAUGGUGGAGGACCAGUGAUGGGUACCACACAAAUAUGUAUUAUAGGGAUUGUCGCCAAAUGUGACACUCCUGCUACUGUGCUGGUUUCUACUGUCAAGCAAUACAGUCCUCAGAAUCUUCACUCAGUACAAAAUGCUUUUUCCUGUUUCCAUGGUUUUAUGGUUAUCUGAAUCUUAUAACAGAAGCCAUCAUAAACGAAUUUAACUUUCUGAAAAAAGACAAUAAAGUUACAAUAGCAGCUGUAGCCUCAAAAUGCUUGGCACGGUUUUUCAGAGGGGAUAGCAAAGUGAGAGAAUAUAUUAUGGUAAUUUGUUGAGAGUGAUUUGAUUGUGUGUUCCUGCAUGACAGGGAUUAGACUGGAUGGUCCUUGUGGUCUCUUCCAGCUCUGUGAAUCUAUGAUUUUAUAUAACAGUGGUUCUCAACCUGGAGCCCCAAGGUGUUUUUUGGCCUCCAACUCCCAGAAAUCCUAACAGCUGGUAAACUGGCUGAGAUUUCUGGGAGCUGUAGGCCAAAAACCUCUGGGGACCCCAGGUUGAGUACCACUGUUAACAUAAUGAUGGAUGUGGUAUCAAACAUAAGGGUUGUCUACACGGGCAUGAAAGAUUGUACUCACCUCAUAUCCAGUAUUCAUUUAAUACAUGAUGUUCCUCAGGAUUCAAAUCCAGUUCAGUUUUUUUUUAACCCCUGAGGGCUUAAAUCUAAUGUUUAAAAAUGAUGCUUUAUCCCACACUUUUCUGUAAAAACUAAAUUAUUUUAUCUAUGCCCAGUCAGCUGUGUUCAGCUGUGAGGUGGCGUUGUAGGCACUUGUAGAGGGGAGGGGAGGAGACCUGAUUCUUCCUUCCAUGAAAAGCUACACAUUUUGUCAGCACACAAUCAUCUUUAUUUUUUAAAUACAUUUGUGUGUAUAUAAUCACCAUUCUUUUUGAAGGUGCAUUUCUGUGGAUAAUUGCAUAGUGAUAUUAAUACACUUCCAUCUAUCAGCAUUUAAAUACCAUCUGCCUUGUUUUACUUAAUAGAAUGGCUAAUGCCCUGUCAAAGCAUAUGUAUAAAAUGCAGAUAUAUGUAUAUACCUAUAUUUGCAUGCAUGAGGGAGGGGUUGAGAAUGAAGUGCUCAAUCUCAUGUGGAUAGAAAUAAUGUAAAGUAUAUUGCAUGUGAUCAUCACAGGACAAUCCUUUAACAUUUUAAUAGUGAUAGUCAACAUGGUGCUGUGGUUUGAGCAUUAGACUAUGAUGCUGAAGAACUUUGGAAAAUUACACAUUUGCAGGUUUAGAAAACCCCAUACCUUAAGACUGCAAUAGGUUGGAAAUUAUUAGAAGGCACGGUAAAACAAUGUAUGUCCGUCCCCAGGUUUUCUGUUCCGUUAGUAUUAUGUCACCUUCUCCAUACAACAACCUUACCAUUGUUAUUCCUAUUGUUAUGAUCAUAACCUAAAAAUACCCACAUCUUUUUAUUAUUUUUAAUCUUUCUAGUAAGCUUGAAUUCAUUCUGCUCUUUGGUUUCUCUUACCUUUCCCCUAUACUACUGGCUAUUUAUUUGAAUUUCUCUUUGGUGAUUUCCCCCCUUUUUCCAUUUUUUGUAGAUGUCUGUUUUAAAUCUGUGUCCAGUAGAAACGUCUUUAGUCAUCCACCCUGCUUUUCAAAGAUAUAUCCCAUUUUUCCUCCUCAUUGGAACAGUUUGAAAUUGUGCUUUCAAUAGCUCAUUUUUAAUAAACACCCAUCCAUCAUGAAUUCCCCUCUCUUUAGUACUUCUUAUCAUGGGGUCACACCCAAUAUUUCCCCAGGUUUGCUGAAACCAACUUUCUAGAAUGCAUAUCUGACUUUCACUUGGCAUCUCUUUUCCGCAAAAUAACAUACCCUAUUAUAGUCUAUCCUUCUCCCAUAAUUGUAUAAAUAUGCUGAAUAUGUGAGGUUUUGUACUGUAUCUGAAAAAGUGGGCUUAUAGCCACUAAAGUAAUAAUAGGAAACCUACUCUGCUGGCCAGAGCCAGAAUGGUAUCUUGAGUUGGUUUAAACAACUAAUUUUAAAGUAGAUAUAACUGAUUUUAAUGUUUGUUCAUAUUUAUAGUUAUUUUAAGUCCCGGCAUGGAAUGCUUGCUGUAUCUAUGUUGUGCUCGAUCUUGAGUCCCCUUCGGAGUGAGAAGGGUGAAAUAUAAAUGUUUUAAAUAAAUAAUAAAAUAAAGCUCAUGCUAAAAGGAAACCAGUUAGUCUUAAAGGUGCUGCCAUAUCAAUUUUUUUCUCCCCUUCCCUUCUUUCUUGUUAUGUUACAAGAAACUAAAGACUUCACGGCACAAGGUCUAGAAGUGCAAUGCAAAACCAUUCUUAUAGAGAUCUGAAACAUAGCAGGAUAGCCACUCUUCAUGUUGCACCAUCUUGCUGUAAAUGCUUUCAAAAGCUGAAGUGUGUUUGAGGCAAUGUAGUGUGUUCAGGAGCAUUUCCAUUCAUAGUUAUUUCACAUGUCUGCAAUAGUCUGACAUUAGGAAAAGAAGCAAAUAGUUCAAGUGUAAAUCCACACUGUUGGCCACAAAUCACAUUCCAGCAAAAGGUCCUGGGAUUAGUUACAUGGGACAUGAAUUCAUUGACUGUUAAGGAAGGCUAAUUGGUAGCCUUGCAGAAAUGGUUUAUCUUCAAUAUGAAACACCCAUUUUCUUUGCAGUCGCCAUCCUGCUCAACAUUUACUGAAUUACUUCACACAUUUCCAAAAAUAUUCAUGCUUUGAUAAUCCAUAAUAACUUUUCUGAUCUGGUGCAAUAUUAGACAUAGGGUGGGAUAAAAAUAUUGAAAUGCAUACAUACAAAUAUUUGAACAUGGGAAUUUGGACCUGCAACAGAUAGCUGAAAUAAGAUCUUGUGUUUCUCAAGUGUUUUAUGAUUGUGAUUUUUUAAUGCCUUUUAAAUUUAUUUGUGUGUUUUUGUAUUUGAUAUUAUUGUAUGUUGGUUUUAUAUCUGUAAGCCGCCCCGAGUCCCUCUGGGGAGAUGGUGGCGGGGUACAAAAAUAAAAUUAUUAUUAUGAUUAUUA